AUCCGUCACCUGACACGGCCCUACCAGGAACAGCCGCGCUCCCGCGGAUUCUGGUGCUGCUCGCGUCCCCGCUCCCCUAUUCCCCUUAUUUUAUUCCUGGCUCCCCUCGUCGAAAGUCUUCCAUUCUUCAAACUAGAUUAUUUAAAAAUGAAAAAGGAAGAAAGGAAAGCGAGGUCAUCUCAUUGCUCUAUCCGCCAAUCAGGAGGCUGAAUGUCAGUUUUGAACUAAAAGCCGCUCCGCUCCUCUUCUAGAUUUGGAAAACAAGCGAAAUUAAACUAAACCGCUGCACGCCUCUGACGCGACAUCUGGACACGGCGCGGCGCUGGCGCUGCCGGAGCUGUCGACCCGGCCUGGCGCCGGACUAGUGUCCCUUUUGAUGAGAAGAAUAAGCCUCAUUCUGAUUCAACAGCAGAGAUCAAAGAAAAGACUUCUGUUUUCUGGCCACCAGAUAUAUGUUAUCUGUGCUUAAAGAAUUGAAAAACACACAUCAAAGGAGAAUUUUCUUGGAAAGAGAGGGUUCAAGCAUCACUGUUAGGUGUGCUGGAAUCCUUUCCCGAGUCAGUACUGCUUUCUAGAAGAAAACCGGGGAGAUCUAUUUGGAAUGUAUCUAACUCCAAAGAAACCAUCAGAGGUAACAGGUGGAGAACUUCAGUAGAGGAAGUGGCAGGAAUUUGGGAAUGAGGAGCACAGUGAUUAAACUGGGGCCAUUCAUAUGAGAGUUUAAGAACUCAGACCAGUGACUUAGAUUGGCUUCUCUCACAUGGCAAGAAACAUUGCUGCUAGCACUUCCCGAGUUCUACGUUCUACAACAUCCACCACUGGAUCUUAACAUAGACGUAAGAUCAAAUGCAAUAGCAUGUCAAACAAUGUGUAACUCCAGUUAUACAAACAUUACUGUAUCUCAUUGGGGAUACGAAGCUCUACACACUUGAAGAUGGUGAAGGAAUAUAAAAAUCUAUGUCUCACAGUCCAGACUUGGAGUACAAGUAAUAAGAAGAAUAAAACUUAAUCCCUUAAGUAGAUUCACCAUAAGUUAGCUCAGAGCAAUUCCAGUGCAAGUAUGGUCUGUGAUCCAGUAGUAUCUUACAGACAGCAAGUUGAACAUUGUGGGAUGCAUGAGCUAUUGAGGCCUUUGCAGCUUUCUGCUACAUGGAGGCUAGGGCCAGAGUCAAGAUUUAUGCUUUGCAGCACACUGGUCAGCUGUUUUUGCAAAUCAGAUUAAAUGAUUUUUAAAUGAGGCUGAGAGCAUGGGAGAUACUAAUGUGUGUUUCCUUGUGAGCUACUGCAUAAGUUAGGAAAUUGAAAUACAGAAAGAUGAAAAGUGAUUUGCC
rnacentral:lncRNA from 1 species